CUUCCUUCUCGCGAGAAUGAAUGCGUCACUUCCGGUAACCGCUGCGAGAACGGCCCUUCCCUACGUUUUCCCAGGGCGCCGCCGGAGCCCUGCCGGCUAAGGGGUGGGGAAACGAACAGAUCCCUGCCAUCUAUCCUCCAACUCCACCACCCGCUGAUCCGGCACGCUAAAGACCACCAAUGAUUUAAAGGCUGCGGAACUGGAAAAAUACUACGCCAGCAGGCCCACUAAUGAAUUAGCCUUACUGUUCACUGACUUCCCAAUACACCUGCUCCAUGAUAUGCCCCGUCAUCCCAAAUGACUCAAUGAUGUGACGCUAUUCCGGAGUGAAGAAUGUUUCUCGGGAUUUCGGGAACUUUUUUCCUAGAUGCCUCACAGAGCUUGCUGUCCAGCAGUCCAGUUAGGGCUCUGCCAGCACAGCAGUUCAUUGUGAGAAGUGUUUCUAAUGGGUGCUGCAGGGCUGCAGAGGCAAGCUUUGGGAAUGCUGUUGGUGCAGCAAGUGCUUCCGGGUGGCGGAUUGACAUAGCAUAGGACAACCAGCUUCUGGUCUUCCAUUUGAGAGGCUCAUACUUUCACUGUACCUGGGGAAUCUCAAUACUCAAGUAAAGGAGUCAGCAUGGAAU